rnacentral:rRNA from 1 species
UACGUAGGUGGCAAGCGUUGUCCGGAUUUAUUGGGCUUAAAGGGUGCGUAGGCGGUUUUUUAAGUCAGUGGUGAAAUACUUCAGCUUAACUGGAGAGGUGCCAUUGAUACUGGGAAACUUGAGUACUGAUGAGGUAGGCGGAAUGGACGGUGUAGCGGUGAAAUGCUUAGAUAUCGUCCAGAACACCGAUAGCGAAGGCAGCUUACUAAGGAGUAACUGACGCUGAGGCACGAAAGUGUGGGGAUCGAACGGG